rnacentral:rRNA from 1 species
AUUGAACGCUGGCGGCAGGCCUAACACAUGCAAGUCGAGCGGAUGAAGGGAGCUUUCUCCUGGAUUCAGCGGCGGACGGGUGAGUAAUGCCUAGGAAUCUGCCUGGUAGUGGGGGAUAACGUCCGUAAACGGGCGCUAAUACCGCAUACGUCCUGAGGGAGAAAGGGGGGGAUCUUCGGACCUCACGCUAUCAGAUGAGCCUAGGUCGGAUUAGCUAGUUGGUGGGGUAAAGGCCUACCAAGGCGACGAUCCGUAACUGGUCUGAGAGGAUGAUCAGUCACACUGGAACUGAGACACGGUCCAGACUCCUACGGGAGGCAGCAGUGGGGAAUAUUGGACAAUGGGCGAAAGCCUGAUCCAGCCAUGCCGCGUGUGUGAAGAAGGUCUUCGGAUUGUAAAGCACUUUAAGUUGGGAGGAAGGGCAGUAAGUUAAUACCUUGCUGUUUUGACGUUACCAACAGAAUAAGCACCGGCUAACUUCGUG